rnacentral:rRNA from 1 species
AUUGAACGCUGGCGGCAUGCCUAACACAUGCAAGUCGAGCGGAGUUGCGGACGGGCGAGUAAUGCCUAGGAAUCUGCCUGGCAGUUGGGGCUAACGUCCGGACACGGGCGCUAAUACCGUACCCUUUUAGCUGUGCCUUGGACGGAUUAGCUAGUUGGUUGGGUAAAGGCCUACUAAGGCGACGAUCCGUAACUGAUCUGAGUGGAUGAUCAGUCACACUGGAACUGAGACACGGUCCAGACUCCUACGGGAGGCAGCAGUAGGGAAUAUUGGGCAAUGGGCGAAAGCCUGAUCCAGCCAUGCCGCGUGUGUGAAGAAGGUCGUCGGAUUGUAAAGCACUGUUAGUUGGGAAGCGUUACCAAAACAAUAAGCACCGGCUAACUUCGUGCCAGCAGCCGCGGUAAUUC